GGGCUGGUAGCUCAGUGGCAGAGCAGUGGCCUUUUAAGCCAAUGGUCGUGGGUUCGACCCCCACCCGGCCCACCA
rnacentral:tRNA from 1 species